rnacentral:rRNA from 1 species
CGCAUCUGUGCAUGCUGCAUAUCAAUAAGCGGAGGAAAAGAAACUAACAAGGAUUCCCCUAGUAACGGCGAGUGAAGCGGGAAGAGCUCAAAUUUGAAAUCUUAAAGGGUUUCCCUUUACGAAUUGUAGUUUAAAGAAGUGUUUUCUGUUGAGGUUUUGGUAAAAGUUCUUUGGAAUAGGACAUCAUAGAGGGUGAGAAUCCCGUAUUUGACCUUUACUUUCAACUUUGUGAUACACUUUCAAAGAGUCGGAUUGUUUGGGAAUGCAGUCCAAAAUGGGUGGUAAAUUUCAUCUAAAGCUAAAUAUUGGCGAGAGACCGAUAGCGAACAAGUACCGUGAGGGAAAGAUGAAAAGAACUUUGAAAAGAGAGUUAAACAGUACGUGAAAUUGUCAAAAGGGAAGCGUUUGACACCAGUGUUGUUUUUCUGAAAAUCAAUUGAAGAACUGUUUAUGCUAAGCUGUUUAGACUUUAUCAGCUAUCUGUUUAGUUUUGAGCUUUUCUUUAAUGCACUUUUCAGUUAACAAGUCAACAUCAAUUUCUUUUGCUGUAAAAAAGCUUGAGGAAGGUGGCUUGAGAUUCGUCUUAAGUGUUUAUAGCCUCUUGCCUAUGCAGUCGGAGAGAUUGAGGUCUGCAGCGUAGAUCCUUCGGGGCUAAAUGCAUUUGUGCUAAGUUAUAGCAUUUUAUAGACAACUUGUUGACUAUGAUUUGUCUUGUAGCUUACUCGCUUAUGUUAUUUUACCUACGCUUAGGAUGUUGAGUCGUAGAGCACGCAG